rnacentral:lncRNA from 1 species
UAAUUACCUUGUUAUGGCUAUCUAAGACCUUUGGACAACUCUCUUUCAUAUUCAUUGAUCCAUUUUCAGUAAAGAAAAGACACUCCCUUUACAUCUUUCUCUCUCUCACGCCUAAGCAACACAAAUCUCACUCCUUAUUCUUUCUCUCUCUCGUUUCUUCAUUUCUUCAAGGAGCAAACACCAACCCAUUUCUUUAAGUUAAUUGCAUGUGAACACCUCUUGCAUAAAUCAUGAAGUUAGAUUGUGAGGACAACAACCCAUGGAAAUAAAAGACAUUUUUAUUUCUCUCUUCCUUUUUGUUUGGCCGCAAACCCUUUUCCAUGGUGUCUAAACCCAAAUUCAAUUUCUUCAUCAUCUAUGAGAAAACUUGCAUGUAUGGUGGUCAUCACUUCCCUCAUGAACUAUUAGUACUUAGUAUUUGGUUUGAGUUGUUGUUGUGCAGAAAGUAAGGUAAGGAACUCACUCUUCAUUUACAAAAGUAUACAUGAGUUUUCUCUUGUUGAAUCCAAACAUUUAAUCUUAACCCCACACAUGAAUAGAUGUUUACCUCUUCAUUUAAUUUGAUUGCAUGUGAUGGAUUGAGUAAUUGCAAACUGUGGAUGUUUGGAAAAUCAAGUUGAGGUUAUUAUAAAGAAUCAUUGUUGGUUGAGGAAUGAAUGAAAGACUGUGGAAAUAGAAUUGGAGAAAGUUAGAAUUAGAAAGGUAAGAAAUUUUGCAUAAUUUUCGUAGGACCUGUAUUCAGUAAUUAAUCUGUAUCUGUCAAAUCGUAACUUUAUUUUGAAUGGUAUUUACAUGUCUGGAAAGCUGACAGAAUUACCUUCGUUAUGGUGUCAAAUUCGUGGAAUUUAACUGAGAAUUGAGAUCUGGAGACCAGUUUGAAGUUGAGGGUCUGAUAUGGAAAUUGUGCAGAAAAUUCUGUUUACCGGUUUAAACUGCUUUUGCUGCAAAUUCUGCAUUUCGGCGAGUUCCAGAAAUAUCGAUUGUAUUGUUCAAGCGUCAACUCAGGUGGUUCCCUUAGAGCCUUAAACUCUAGUUAGUUUAACUCCAUUAGUUUUCCCAAAAUUUAUGCAUGAUAACAUUAGUCUAGAUAUGAUAAUAGUAUCUCCAAUUUAUGAUAAAAAGUAUGAUAACAUUAAGGUUUAGGAUGGAUUAGUGUAUGAGAAGAGCUUAAUCCCAAAGUUCUUCUCCAUUUUAAUCAUUUAAUCCAUUAUAGUGUGCACAACUAUUAGAUAGAGGGAUUGUAGGUGAAUUUAUCCAUUAUAGUGUGCACAACUAUCAGUAUCCUGCACAAUCUUUUAAAAUGCGAUGCUUUCACUCCUUUUAGAUCUCUGACCCUUCUAGAUAUUUUCUGUGGAUACUGNNNNNNNNNNNNNNNNNNNNNNNNNNNNNNNNNNNNNNNNNNNNNNNNNNNNNNNNNNNNNNNNNNNNNNNNNNNNNNNNNNNNNNNNNNNUACCACGUUAUGGGAUUCGUUAGAAUCCAAUCAUGUUAUGAUUGUGAGCUUCAGCCGUGUCGAUGUACAUUAUUAUCGCAGACGGAUAUGUCAGACCUCUAAGACCUGCUCACCUCAAAGUGUCUUUAUUAUGAAUAAAACGAACAAGAUAAAUAAUUUGUGUUACACCUUUAUGUAUUAUGUUAUGAAAUUAUGUUAUGUAAAUCAUGUUUAGAGAUUGACUAUCAGGAUCAAGGAACAUUAGUUCAUCAGUUGCCCCCGGUAUAGACACCAAUAGUAAUUGGGUAGUAGGAAUCCACUGAGACGAAGUGACUGUCUCAUCCCCCGCUUAUUUGAUUUCAGAUAAACAGGUUGAUCGAGAUAUCAUGGUCUGCAUGCAUGAAGUUCAGAUGCUUGGAUUAUGCUAGUUGAGUUGACGUCAUGUUAUCUUAUAUUGU